rnacentral:tRNA from 1 species
AUCCCAGUAGCUUACUUUUAAAGCAUUGGCCUUGUAAACCAAAGACGGACCCAACCCUCCCUGGGGUA